rnacentral:rRNA from 1 species
GUUGUAUGGUUAAGUGACUAAGCGUACACGGUGGAUGCCUUGGCAGUCAGAGGCGAUGAAAGACGUAGUAACUUGCGAUAAGCCCAGAUUAGGUAGUAACAACCAUUUGAGUCUGGGAUUUCUGAAUGGGGAAACCCACGUGCAUAAGCACGUAUCCUUACCUGAAUACAUAGGGUAAGGAGGCGAACCGGGGGAACUGAAACAUCUAAGUACCCCGAGGAAAAGAAAUCAACCGAGAUUCCGAAAGUAGCGGCGAGCGAAAUUGGACUAGCCCUUAAGCUUUACACGCGUUAGACGAACGGUCUGGAAAGUCCGACGAUACAGGGUGAUAGUCCCGUAGUUGACGACGUGUGUUCAGUGAAAUCGAGUAGGGCGGGACACGUGAUAUCCUGUCUGAAUAUGGGGGGACCAUCCUCCAAGGCUAAAUACUACUGACUGACCGAUAGUGAACCAGUACCGUGAGGGAAAGGCGAAAAGAACCCCUGUGAGGGGAGUGAAAUAGAACCUGAAACCGUGUACGUACAAGCAGUAGGAGCAGGCUUUGUCCUGUGACUGCGUACCUUUUGUAUAAUGGGUCAGCGACUUAUAUUCAGUGGCAAGGUUAACCAUCUAGGGGAGCCGUAGGGAAACCGAGUCUUAACUGGGCGUUCAGUCUCUGGAUAUAGACCCGAAACCAGGUGAUCUAGCCAUGGGCAGGUUGAAGGUUGAGUAACAUCAACUGGAGGACCGAACCGACUAAUGUUGAAAAAUUAGCGGAUGACUUGUGGCUAGGGGUGAAAGGCCAAUCAAACCUGGAGAUAGCUGGUUCUCCCCGAAAGCUAUUUAGGUAGCGCCUCGGACGAAUACUACUGGGGGUAGAGCACUGUUAAGGCUAGGGGGUCAUCCCGACUUACCAACCCUUUGCAAACUCCGAAUACCAGUAAGUACUAUCCGGGAGACACACGGCGGGUGCUAACGUCCGUCGUGGAGAGGGAAACAACCCAGACCGCCAGCUAAGGUCCCAAAUUACUACUAAGUGGGAAACGAUGUGGGAAGGCUCAGACAGCCAGGAUGUUGGCUUAGAAGCAGCCAUCAUUUAAAGAAAGCGUAAUAGCUCACUGGUCGAGUCGGCCUGCGCGGAAGAUGUAACGGGGCUAAGUAGUAAACCGAAGCUGCGGCAAUAUACUUUUGUAUAUUGGGUAGGGGAGCGUUCUGUAAGCGGUUGAAGGUGUGUGGUAACGCAUGCUGGACGUAUCAGAAGUGCGAAUGCUGACAUGAGUAACGAUAAAGGGGGUGAAAAACCUCCUCGCCGGAAGACCAAGGGUUCCUGUCCAACGUUAAUCGGGGCAGGGUAAGUCGACCCCUAAGGCGAGGCCGAAAGGCGUAGUCGAUGGGAAACGGGUUAAUAUUCCCGUACUUCUUACAAUUGCGAUGGGGGGACGGAGAAGGCUAGGUGGGCCUGGCGACGGUUGUCCAGGUUCAAGUGCGUAGGCUU